GACGAACGCUGGCGGCGUGCUUAACACAUGCAAGUCGAACGGAAAGGCCCUGCUUUUGUGGGGUGCUCGAGUGGCGCACGGGUGAGUAACACGUGAGUAACCUGCCCUUGUCUUUGGGAUAACUUCAGGAAACUGGGGCUAAUACCGGAUAGGAGCUCCUGCUGCACGGUGGGGGUUGGAAAGUUUCGGCGGUUGGGGAUGGACUCGCGGCUUAUCCGCUUGUUGGUGGGGUAGUGGCUUACCAAGGCUUUGACGGGUAGCCGGCCUGAGAGGGUGACCGGCCACAUUGGGACUGAGAUACGGCCCAGACUCCUACGGGAGGCAGCAGUGGGGAAUAUUGCACAAUGGGCGGAAGCCUGAUGCAGCAGCGCCGCGUGCGGGAUGACGGCCUUCGGGUUGUAAACCGCUUUCGCCUGUGACGAAGCGUGAGUGACGGUAAUGGGUAAAGAAGCACCGGCUAACUACGUG
rnacentral:rRNA from 1 species